CGGCUAACUACGUGCCAGCAGCCGCGGUAAUACGUAGGUGGCAAGCGUUUCCGGAAUUAUUGGGCGUAAAGCGCGCGUAGGCGGUUUUUUAAGUCUGAUGUGAAAGCCCCGGCUCAACCGUGGAGGGUCAUUGGAAACUGAAAAACUUGAGUGCAGAAGAGGAAAGUGGAUUCCAUGUGUAGCGGUGAAAUGCGCAGAGAUAUGGAGGAACACCAGUGGCGAAGGCGACUUCUGGUCUGUAACUGACGCUGAUGUGCGAAAGCGUGGGGAUCAAACAGGAUUAGAUACCUGGUAGUCCACGCCGUAAACGAUGAGUGCUAAGUGUUAGGGGGUUUCCGCCCCUUAGUGCGCAGCUAACGCAUUAAGCACUCCGCCUGGGGAGUACGGCCGCAAGGCUUAAACUCAAAGGAUUGACGGGGACCCGCACAAGCGGUGGAGCAUGUGGUUUAAUUCGAAGCAACGCGAAGAACUUACCAAAUCUUGACAUCCUUUGACCGCUCUAGAGAUAGAGUCUUCCCCUUCGGGGGACAAGUGACAGGUGGUGCAUGGUUGUCGUCAGCUCGUGUCGUGAGAUGUUGGGUUAAGUCCCCAACGAGCGCAACCCUUAAGCUUAGUUGCCAUCAUUCAGUUGGGCACUCUAAGUUGACUGCGGUGACAAACCGGAGGAAGGUGGGGAUGACGUCAAAUCAUCAUGCCCCUUAUGAUUUGGCUACACACGUGCUACAAUGGACAAUACAAAGGGCAGCGAAACCGCGAGGUCAAGCAAAUCCAUAAAGUUGUUCUCAGUUCGGAUUGUAGUCUGCAACUCGACUACAUGAAGCUGGAAUCGUAGUAAUCGUAGAUCAGCAUGCUACGGUGAAUACGUUCCCGGGUCUUGCACACACCGCCCU
rnacentral:rRNA from 1 species